rnacentral:rRNA from 1 species
AUUGAACGCUGGCGACAGGCCUAACACAUGCAAGUCGAACGAGUGGCGGACGGGUGAGUAAUGUCUGGGAAACUGCCUGAUGGAGGGGGAUAACUACUGGAAACGGUAGCUAAUCCCGCAUACCAUCGGAUGUGCCCCGCUGGGAUUAGCUAGUAGGUGUGGUAACGGCUCACCUAGGCGACGAUCCCUAGCUGGUCUGAGAGGAUGACCAGCCAAACUGGAACUGAUACACGGUCCAGACUCCGACGGGAGGCAGCAGGGGGGAAUAUUGCACAAUGGGGGCAAGCCUGAUGCAGCCAUGCCGCGUGUAUGAAGAAGGCCUUCGGGUUGUAAAGUACUUUCAGCGGGGAGGCGUUACCCGCAGAAGAAGCACCGGCUAACUCCGUGCCAGCCGCCGCGGUAAUUC